GGCUGUCCGGAUGCGUCUGCAGCGUCUCACUGUAAAACGCGUACUCCAUGAAAUUUAGCCCCCAGUUUCUGGCCGGGGAUUAUCCUUCUGCUGAUUCACGGCCGUUACGGAGGCGGACGUAGCGGUGCGGCGGUGUUUUGUUGGUUUGGCCUUAUCAUUUCAGUCCUUCAUGGCUAACUUCCACCGCCUCUUCCGAGUUCUGUUGAUGGUUUUCACUCUUUCAGCAUAUUCUUUGUCUUUUACGAAUUUCUGUUCUCCAGUGAAUAAUUACGAAAUUGUGAUGCCCUGUUCAGUAAUCCGAACCAUGAGUGUUGGAAUUGGAAUUAACUAUGGCCAGAUCGCUAAUAAUCUGCCGUCUCCAUCACGCGUCGCCAUUCUUCUCCAAAGUCUAAACAUCAGUAGAGUAAAAUUGUACGACGCAGACCCUAAUGUCUUGUUUGCAUUCUCCAGGAGUGAUGUGAAUUUCAUUAUAGGACUUGGUAAUGAAUAUCUUCAGAACAUGUCCGAUCCCGAGGAAGCCCUAGCUUGGGUUCAACAAAAUAUUCAAACACACAUCUCUCAGACUCAAAUCACUUGCAUCACAGUUGGCAAUGAAGUUUUCAACUCCAAUGAUUCCCAAUUAAGGUCUAAUCUUCUUCCUGCAAUGCAAUCUGUUUAUAACGCGCUUGUUAAUCUUAGGCUGGAUAAGCAGGUUUCUGUUACCACAGCUCAUUCUCUUAAUAUCCUAGCCAACUCUUUCCCUCCGUCGGCUGGGACAUUCAAGCCGGAUCUUGCUGAAUUCAUACAGCCAAUUCUCAAUUUCCACUCGAUGGUUAAGUCACCUUUUCUUAUAAAUGCAUAUCCCUUUUUUGCAUAUAAGGAUAGCCCUGCCCAAGUUCCCUUAGAAUAUGUGCUGUUCCAGCCUAACCAAGGGAUGACUGAUCCCAUUACAAAUUUGCAUUAUGACAAUAUGCUGUAUGCUCAAAUCGAUGCGGUUUAUGCUGCCAUCAAAGCCAUGGGACAUACAGAUAUCCAAGUCCAAGUCUCUGAGACUGGUUGGCCAUCUCAGGGCGAUAUGAACGAGGUCGGUGCUACACCAGAGAACGCAGGGUUGUAUAAUGGUAAUUUGCUAAGAAGAAUUCAGAGUGGACAAGGAACCCCGGCAAAACCAUCAGUUCCAAUCGAUAUCUAUGUUUUUGCUUUGUUUAACGAGGAUUUGAAGCCCGGUCCAGCAUCGGAGAGAAACUAUGGUCUUUACUAUCCUGAUGGUACACCAGUUUAUAACAUUGGAUUGCAGGGGUAUCUCCCAGAGUUGUUGUAUUCAUCGUCCAAAAGAAAUGUACUCAUAUCGGAAAAGGGUACUAAACACAUACCUGGGAAGCCGAAUUUGAAACUGCAAAAAUUCUGAGGAUGGUUGGCUAAUUUAGGGAAUGAUCACGGAUUUAUAGGAACAGAAGGUGGGCAUCAGCUUCUGGCCCUUUUGGUGGAGUGAUCUCAUACGUGGCGGGGCCAAGUGAUUCAAGUAGUAAGGGAGAAAGAUGAGCUUUCUUUCUAUAUGAGGCGGUGGCUGUCCUUUUCAAAGGGAGGUAUGGGAAGAGAUUUGGUGGGUGGCUUCCAAAUAAAGGAAUUAGGUAUUUUGUUUUUGUUGGUAUUUUGGAUGAGGUGUUAAUGGAUAUCUUCAUCUCUUAAGGACUGAACCAUAAAGAGUAUUAAUGAUUUUGAAUGAUGUUUGUAUUGCCAUUUUCAUGUAUUUGAGAUUUCUGAUAUUUCUUAGGGAAAUUGGCCUCCUUUUU